GAUGAACGCUGGCGGCGUGCCUAAUACAUGCAAGUCGAGCGAACGGACGAGAAGCUUGCUUCUCUGAUGUUAGCGGCGGACGGGUGAGUAACACGUGGAUAACCUACCUAUAAGGCUGGGAUAACUUCGGGAAACCGGAGCUAAUACCGGAUAAUAUUUUGAACCGCAUGGUCCAAAAGUGAAAGACGGUCUUGCUGUCACUUAUAGAUGGAUCCGCGCUGCAUUAGCUAGUUGGUAAGGUAACGGCUUACCAAGGCAACGAUGCAUAGCCGACCUGAGAGGGUGAUCGGCCACACUGGAACUGAGACACGGUCCAGACUCCUACGGGAGGCAGCAGUAGGGAAUCUUCCGCAAUGGGCGAAAGCCUGACGGAGCAACGCCGCGUGAGUGAUGAAGGUCUUCGGAUCGUAAAACUCUGUUAUUAGGGAAGAACAUAUGUGUAAGUAACUGUGCACAUCUUGACGGUACCUAAUCAGAAAGCCACGGCUAACUACGUG
rnacentral:rRNA from 1 species